AGCCGGCUUGGGGCCCAGCAUACACAGGCCCCCAGGACCCCUGGGGAGAGGGCCCCGCUGGGCUGGCCCUGCAGGGACCAUGGAAUCCAGAGCUGAGAGGAUCCCCCCAUCCUGCGGCAGUUCCCUCCAGACUUCAGGGACCAGGAAGCUAUGCAGAUGGUGCCUAAAUUCUGCUUCCCUUUUGAUGUGGAAAGGGAGCCCCCCAGCCCCGCCGUGCAGCAUUUCACCUUCGCCCUCACAGACCUUGCCGGCAACCGCAGAUUUGGUUUCUGCCGCCUGCGGGCGGGUACCCAGAGCUGUCUCUGCAUCCUCAGCCACCUGCCUUGGUUCGAGGUGUUUUACAAGCUAUUGAACACAGUGGGAGACCUCCUAGCCCAGGGCCAAGUCACCGAGGCAGAGGAACUUCUUCAAAAUCUGUUUCAGCAGUCCCUGUCUGGGCCCCAGGCCUCAGUGGGGCUUGAGCUGGGCAGCGGAGUGACGGUCUCCAGCGGGCAGGGUAUCCCACCCCCUACCCGGGGGAAUAGCAAGCCGCUUUCCUGCUUCGUGGCCCCGGACUCCGGCCGCCUGCCAUCCAUCCCUGAGAACGAACCUAACGGAGCUGGUGGUGGCCGUGACUGACGAGAACAUCGUGGGGCUGUUCGCGGCGCUCCUGGCCGAGAGAAGAGUCCUGCUCACCGCCAGCAAACUCAGCACCGUGAGGCGGGGUCCGCCGGGCCGGGGUGGGAGCAGGGCCUGGCUCCGCCCCGGGGGGCGGGACAACGGGGCUGAUUCCUGGCUCUAACCCUACUGCGCGAGACCUGAGGGCGAAGUCCUGGCCCCGCCCCUUCGAAGGUCUUGGAGAGUUGAAUUCUGGCCCCGCCCUCGUGGGAGGGGGCUGCGCUGCAGCUCCUCCUUUUUGGGAGUACUGUGCUCAGGCUCCACCCACUAUGGGCCGCAACACGUCUGGCUCCACCCCUCCGGACUCUCAGGGACACUGAGAACUAGGGACUUAUACACAUGGGAAUCCAGGGACCCAGGGACUCAGGGACUCAGAGAUCUGAGGACCCAGG
rnacentral:sRNA from 1 species